rnacentral:rRNA from 1 species
UACGUAGGUGGCAAGCGUUGUCCGGAUUUACUGGGCGUAAAGAGCGCGCAGGCGGUCGUUCAAGUCGCGUGUGAAAGCCCCCGGCUCAACUGGGGAGGGUCACGCGAUACUGAUCGACUCGAAGGCAGGAGAGGGAAGUGGAAUUCCCGGUGUAGUGGUGAAAUGCGUAGAUAUCGGGAGGAACACCAGUGGCGAAGGCGCCACUCUGGGCCGGUACUGACGCUGAGGAGCGAAAGCGUGGGGAGCGAACAGG